UCGGCGUGGAUUAGGCAUGCAAGUCGAACGAGAAGCCACAGCUUCAAGUCUUCGGACGAGAAAUUGUGGUGGACAGUGGCGAAAGGGUGAGUAACGCGUGGGUAACCUGCCUUUAAGUUGGGGACAACUUUUCGAAAGAAGGGCUAAUACCGGAUGUGGUCUUCUGUCGCAUGGCAGAAUGAUUAAAGGUGGGGAUUUUUCGGAACCUGCCGCUUAAAGAGGGACCCGCGUACUAUCAGCUUGUUGGUGAGGUAAUGGCUCCCCAAGGCUUACGGUUAGCCGGCNUGAGAGGGUGAUCGGCCACACUGGGGCUGAGACACUGCCCAGACUCCUACGGGAGGCUGCAGUCGAGGAUCAUUCGCAAUGCCCGAAAGG
rnacentral:rRNA from 1 species